GCUGUUCAAUUCUCCAUGAAAGCUUGAUCUCUUCAUUAGGGCAGGAUGAAGUCCUAACAAAGGCGACAACAGUUCUUGAAUUUUUUAUUUUGUUCUUGAAAUUGUAUGAACUUAAUUGAUCUUAUUGAAUAUCCUUUUACCUCAUGCUUAGGGUCUGUGAUUUUAAGUAUGAUGUUUAUGCAACUAUUCUUCAUGAUCACUGAGUAAAUAUAAGAUAGUCCAUGCUUAAGGAAGAUGUGGUGUGCUACCACCUUAGA
rnacentral:lncRNA from 1 species